CUGUGCCCGGGGCCGCCCGCCCCGCCGGCCUCCGGGGCUUGGGCUCGGGCGCCCGCGUCCUCGAGUUGUUGGGUUUUUCUUUCCUUUCCGCGCGUGUUUGCAGGGGAGGCCGGGCCGCUCCUCCCCCGCUCGGCGCGUGCUCAUUCCAUUCUUUUUGUAGACUUUGGGCCCACGUGUUUUCUGGGCAUUGAUACAUAUAUAAAUAUAUAGAUAUAGAUAUAUGACUCUAUUUUUUUAAGUUUCCUACGUCUGGAGGUAGCAUGGACCGUUUGCCCGGCAUGUCUUUAUAGUGUAGACAGAUUUUGCACGCCAGACUCGGCAGCUUUGGGGAAGAGGAAGAAAAUGCCUUCGGUCCCCCCCUCCCGACAUACGCAGGCUUCG